AUUCCUUUAUUAGUUAAUUUCCAAUUAACAGAUCCCAAAGGGAAGGAAUA
rnacentral:tRNA from 1 species